ensembl:lncRNA
AGGGCAAGUUGCAAGGACAUCAAAGAAACAUACAAAAGGAGUUGCUUUUCCUUUGAUUGACGAUCCACUUUGUUUUCUCUCGAACAUACCCUUGAUGAUUCAUGGGCCCAGGAAGAGGAAGCUGUCGGUUUUUCCCCAACAUAGAAAGUGAGGCCAUGGAGGGGAAUCCUAUAAACACAAAUGGCAAUGUGAAUGCAACCAGCGCCACAGGCAAGGCAUCCGGCGCAAGCACCUUGACACUUCCGUUUUUGCUGCAGUUGGGGCUGAUGGUUGCACCUGCCUUACUUCAAACUCUGCUGUAGCACUUGCUAUGCUCUCCUUCCACAAGACUCUGCAGAACUUCUGCAAGAACGGGGGCAACAACAUAGCAAUAGCUUCAAUGACUAGGCCUACUAUAUUUACCGGUACUGUAGACCCUAGCUGACCCGUUUCCAUGAUUGAACACCGUGAAAUUCUUAACCCAAAUGAUCUUGUAAUAACCAUACAGAUACAGAAAUAAAUUUGU